AUAAGAGUUGAAGGAGUAGUGCACCUUGAAAAAAAUUUGAAGUUGAAGAUGAUUGCCUUAAAGAAUAGGCAAAGUGGGCCUAUUUACUAGUUGCACAAAAACAAUCUCAAGUUUUAUUUUAUUUAUGCCUCUCAGUGGCCAUAUUUUUUUGCUGUUAGUCUAUGAAUGAUACAUUCAUCUGUCCCUUUUCCUGAACUUUCUUAUUUCAUUACAGUAUGACAAAUAGGCUAAGAUGCAAAAGAAGAUCCAGGCUGGAAUGGAAGCGGCAGAACAUAACAGGGCUGUAUCAUACAAUUUUUGAAAAAUACAAGGACUGGUGUUUGAAUCAAAUGAACUCCUGGAACUGUCCAGGUGAAAGGAAAACCAGACCAUCUGCAUAUGUGGACCCGCACAAGUGACUGAGGAAAGCAGACAACUAGGAUAUGGAUGUGGACAUGAAUAUGGCAACUCCAGUUCUUAAGUUUAACGGAACUUAUAGAUGUGUUCCUCGUGGGAGCUCAAGAAAGGCACAGCAGAGGCUGGGACUGGGUCAGAGUCAGCCUGCACGAGACAAGAGAGAACAGACCAAUACAAAGCACUGAGACUGAUGGGACACAGAAGCAAGCAGAUCAUUCCAUCGCUUCACAGAUCUGUGACUAAAAGUUCAACAACACACUGUUUUAUUGAUCCUUGAAUCUCUUGUGAUUGUAACAUACACUGUGAUUCAAUGUAUUAGAAGUACUUGAGGUGUGGUAGAGGAAGGACUUGUAUGCUGACAGAUGCAACAAUUAAUAGCCUUCGAAAGGAUCAUUUGUUUGUUUUUUUCUGAUGGGGAACCUGGACUAACUCCCCACUGUUGGCCUCUGAUGACGCCUGCACUGAAUACAGAAUGAAAUUGGAGUGAACUGGAGGGAUGAGCACCUACUUUGUGCUGAAUUCAAGUGGCGCAUGUUAAACCAACAGAAGAACCCAUCUCUUCAAGAAAAUGCUUCCGUUUCUGCUCCAGUCAACCCUGCCUCCAAAUGACAUCACUUACGCUUCUGGUCCCACUAAACCCACCUCUUCCUGUCAGCCUUCUUUAUAACCACCAUGUUUUUUCCUUGUAUGUCAGUUCUGUUUUGGACUCCUGUCUGUGAAGACAUCUUUUGAAUCAAGUCAACUCAGCUCCUUUUUUUCC